GGUGAAUCCAGAUUUGGAGCUUGAAUGACUCAAAUGCUUUGCCUACAUUGAUCCUACAUUCAGGCUGCUUACAUAUCUCUUGGCUUCUCUGAGAACCAGAUUGUCACCACUUAAAGUGUCUUCCAGAGUCUUCAUGAGUAUCAGAGAAGGCAUAAUCCAUACACGUGGCUUCAUUUAAAAUGAAAAUAUCAAGGAGUGUCAUUUUCACAAGUAUCCGCACACUCUCUGAGGCUGAGAAGAAGAGUGUAGCUACGCACACUGCAGUGAGAAGAAAACUUCAGCUCGAUUGGAGGAUGUAAAGGGGUUCAAUUGGACUCACUAGCCUGCCCAAGCCGUUUGGAGCACAGAAGAGUGAAGAAUCCCUGAGUCUUGAUCCUAUGCACAGCAGCAGAUCAGAAAGCCUGUUCAUCCAGAAGCAGAGUUCUAGCCAGGAAAGUGAAUACCAGUCUGCAACUUCAACCUCAAUGGGUGCCUAUCCGUGAAGCUCCUCUGCUGGGGGAGAGUGGGCAGCCUCUCCCUUGCCCAUUGGGAGAAAAGGGAGUGACCUCGGCCUUCAGUAACCACAGUCCCAUCAUGUGCCUAUGACAAGAUUGGGUUCACACGUGAAUACUUGGAAUGCACUUGGUAAAUAGGAGUUCAAUACCUGUUUGUUGAAGAAAGAAAAGAACUAUGGUGGGUCAGAUGAGAGACAAAAAUCACUCUGCAGAGAUAUGGCAUCCAGGGGACCUCCUCUGAGACUGAGAUCAACAGAUUGGACAUCCCUACCCGAGGCUCAGAUGGUAACAGGUCCAUGCCUUACUUGUGUCAGUUCUCUUAUUGAAAGAGCAUCUCCUAACCAUCCUUCCAAUAAGGAAAACCAAUCCCUCCUCUUCCCUCUCCUCCUCAUCGCCUACUCCACAUGAAGACAUCAAGGAUGAAGACCUUCAUGAUGAUCCAUUUCCACUUAAUGAACAGUGAAGGCAGUGAUGUUGUCCUGAGGACUGAUUGCUAUGCCCAGAUGUCUGUUGAAGUUGGCUGCCUGAUCCAACAUACAGCAUAACUGAAGAGGACUAGGAACAGAAUCCGUUCCCGUUUCACCCCAGUAACCAUGCCAAAUUCAACAGAGAGCUCUCCAUAUGGUCUAACA